rnacentral:rRNA from 1 species
UGAGGAAUAUUGGGCAAUGGGCGAAAGCCUGACCCAGCAAUACCGCAUGAGUGAUGAAGGCCUUCGGGUUGUAAAGCUCUUUUAGUAGGGAAGAUAAUGACGGUACCUACAGAAAAAGCCCCGGCUAACUCCGUGCCAGCAGCCGCGGUAAUACGGAGGGGGCUAGCGUUGUUCGGAAUUACUGGGCGUAAAGGGCGCGUAGGCGUCUUGGCAAGUUGGAAGUUAAAUCCCGAAGCUCAACUUCGGAUCAGCUUUCAAAACUGCUGAGAUCGAGUAUGGUAGAGGGUGAUGGAAUUCCCAGUGUAGAGGUGAAAUUCAUAGAUAUUGGGAGGAACACCAAAAGCGAAAGCAAUCACCUGGGCCAUUACUGACGCUGAGGCGCGAAAGCGUGGGUAGCAAACA